rnacentral:rRNA from 1 species
UACGUAGGGGGCAAGCGUUGUCCGGAAUUAUUGGGCGUAAAGAGCGUGUAGGCGGUCCGGUAAGUCGGCUGUGAAAGUCCAGGGCUCAACCCUGGGAUGCCGGUCGAUACUGCCGGACUAGAGUUCGGAAGAGGCGAGUGGAAUUCCCGGUGUAGCGGUGAAAUGCGCAGAUAUCGGGAGGAACACCUAUGGCGAAGGCAGCUCGCUGGGACGUUACUGACGCUGAGACGCGAAAGGGUGGGGAGCAAACAGG